AACGGAUUGAAGGUCGAUAAUGGAGGAGAUAGAAAUCGAUGGUGGGUGAUGGCUCCUUGGAGGCGGCGGCGAUGGCGGCUCACCUUCCAUUUCAUCCUUUCAGAUGAUCCUGGUUCUUCACAGCUUUCGCCAAAGCUGCAAAAAGCUUCCAAACUGGGAUGAUGGACCUGGAUCGCUAAGAGAAGCGUGUCGGAUAAAGUAACCACUCUGGAUUGUCUGAGGUCAUACUUGAAUGUGUCAUCUUAAAAAUGGCGGAAGAAUACAAGACCACCAUGGAAUCAGUCAGGUCAUGGGUCGUUCAACACAAGCUUCGUA